rnacentral:rRNA from 1 species
UACGUAGGGUCCGAGCGUUGUCCGGAAUUACUGGGCGUAAAGAGCUCGUAGGUGGUUUGUCGCGUUGUUCGUGAAAACUCACAGCUUAACUGUGGGCGUGCGGGCGAUACGGGCAGACUUGAGUACUGCAGGGGAGACUGGAAUUCCUGGUGUAGCGGUGGAAAUGCGCAGAUAUCAGGAGGAACAGCCGGUGGCGAAGGCGGGUCUCUGGGCAGUUGCUGACACUGAGGCGCGACA